AUUGAACGCUGGCGGCAGGCUUAACACAUGCAAGUCGAGCGGGGAGAUGGUGCUUGCACUAUCACUUAGCGGCGGACGGGUGAGUAAUGCUUAGGAAUCUGCCUAUUAGUGGGGGACAACAUCUCGAAAGGGAUGCUAAUACCGCAUACGUCCUACGGGAGAAAGCAGGGGAUCACUUGUGACCUUGCGCUAAUAGAUGAGCCUAAGUCGGAUUAGCUAGUUGGUGGGGUAAAGGCCUACCAAGGCGACGAUCUGUAGCGGGUCUGAGAGGAUGAUCCGCCACACGGGGACGGAGACACGGCCCAGACUCCUACGGGAGGCAGCAGUGGGGAAUAUUGGACAAUGGGGGAACCCUGAUCCAGCCAUGCCGCGUGUGUGAAGAAGGCCUUAUGGUUGUAAAGCACUUUAAGCGAGGAGGAGGCUCUUUUGGUUAAUACCCAAGAUGAGUGGACGUUACUCGCAGAAUAAGCACCGGCUAACUCUGUGCCAGCCGCCGCCGUAA
rnacentral:rRNA from 1 species